GUUAGUGUUGCUUCUUAGCAAUUUAUUUCGUUGUUCUCGCUGCUUUUUUUUUUUUUUUUUUUUAUGAAUGUUGAAAUUACGAUCAUUAAUUUGAAACUAAUCAACGAUUUUUGAAAGAGUGCAAUAAAUUAGCUCUGAAUCUUGUAAUAACGACUUUUUACGGAAUUAUUGAAGAUUAGAAGACUUGAGAGCUGUUGUUAAAUUGGUUGUUUGAAAUGCAGCCUAGUAGUUUGAUAAAUUGCCUGCAACUAGAAUAUACAUUCUUUUGAAGUUGGAAAUUCACCUUUCUGGAUAGAGUGUUUUUUAAUAGUUGCCUGAGUUUUUUGGGUGGGUUUUCCAAAUCUCAUUGUCGAUUUCUCUGUUUUAUCGAUGAUUCCAUGUUACUUAUUUUUGCUUCCGCUUGAGAAUAUCGACUUUAAUGCACAGAAAAACAUAUGUGCUUUAUUCUGUAGGUGUUUGAGAAAACUGCUCAAAGAUUCCGUUAAAUUUUUAUUAUCGUUUUACGGUUUAAGUUGUUGUUUCUCUCAGCCCUUUCUGUUGUACGAUGAAUUUUGCGGUAAAUUAGGUGUUCUAUUAAGAGUAUAUUUCUUAUGCAUCUUCCAACUUUUCCUCCUUCUGGGAACUAUAAAACCUGUAUCUUUAGCUUAGCACUAGCUCCCAAUAGGUUUUGUCCGCUUCGGUGAGUAUAUUUCUUAUCUAUCUUCCGACUUUUCCUCCUUCCAGGAACCAUAAAACCUGUAUGUUUAGCUUAGCAUUAGCUUCCAAUAGGUUCUGCCCGCGCAAUCGUGCCUCAACAUUGUGACGGUUUCUGCUACAAUAAACGAAGUGCCUACUUUCAUGAGUACAGUUGAAUCUGUGUUAUUCAUUUCAUACUUUAAGAAGAUUUUUUUUUUUUUUUGAUAAAUAAAGGAUUCUUAUUAAUACCAAAGUGAAGCAUUACAAAGCAAAAUCAGGGCUGACCACCUGAUAUCUCUAAUCAAUCAGACAAUGUUAGAUAAUCUUCUAAGCAGCAGUAGAGCUCAAUCAGCCAAGCAGUGAUAGACAUCAACAGUUUAGGUAGUCUUCAAGGCAUGACAUUAAGGGAGGCCAGCUGAUUUUGCCAUUUCGGAUAGAGAUUACCCUGAAUGUGGAUAAAACUUUAAGAAGAUUAUUACUACACUCUAAACUCAAUUACUUCUAUGCAGCCUAUACAUGUGUUUCGCUACCUUUUCUUGGUAGUAAAAUUUAUUCAGUACAAUUUAUCUUUAGCUUCGAGUUUUCACUAGAUAAAGAAGGAAAAAGGGGCAUUGUGUUGCUGUUUUUUGACGAUGUUUUUUUGGCCAUACUUGUCAUACGUGGUUAAGAUCCACGAACUGUUUUCAUGGUUUGGAAACUUUGUGCUGCUAGUAGAAUCACCAAUAACUUAUGUUGCUUAAAGUUUAACAUGGCAUUUUUCCAUUGUUUCUGAACUUUUUGGAAUGCAAAUAUAUCGCGAUAAUAAACUUGUCAAGACAUGUCUUCCAAACAAACAAAUAAAUAUCCAUGUUCAGAAGAGCAAAAUUAUCAAAUGAAACUCAGAAGGCGCAAUACUUAUAUGAAGAUAACAGCUGAUAAAAAAGAGGCAAUGUUACUGCAAUGGCGCACUACAGAACUGCAGCUGCAGAAAAGCAGUGCUCAUAUAGAAUCAGUGGUUCAGUCAAAACAAACCGCCCUUACUAUAAGAGAGCUUUCUUCUGCUAAUAUCUAAGGAGGCGCCUGCCAUGAAGUUAAUACUUUGUCGAGUUCUUCUGGCAAAGGAAAAAAAUGUACUCCAGCCUUCUUAUGUAUUUGAAAAAGGCUCAACAUCCAACACAUUUAAAGGACAACAAAAUGUCACCCCUGAAGUUGUAACAAACAAAGGUCAUAGGUUGAACAAACAGGUCCAGCUGAAACAUAAUGAAAAUCAAUCGACUUAUGUAUGUUUAAAAGAUGUUCCAAAUUGCCAAUUUUGCAAUGCAAAAAGGUUCCGAUAUGAAUCACUUGGAUUAUGUUGUAGCAAAGGAUCAGUUAAGUUAGUUUCAUAUUCAAUUUCCUAAUGACUUAUUAGAUCUGUAUACGGGAAAUACAGAAGAAUCUAUGAACUUCCGAACCUGCAUUAGAACAUACAAUAAUAUGUUUGCGUUCACCUCACUUGGUGUAACUUAUGACAAAGCUUUAGCGAGGAGAUAUCAUGGCAUAUAUACAUUUCGAGUUCAGGGCCAAAUGUGUCAUUUUAUACCUGAUUUACUUCCUUCUGGUGAAAAAGCAAAGAAUCUGCAAUUAUACUUUUAUGAUAAUGAAAGUGAACUAGCUAAUAGGAUGGCCUGUUCAGCACAUAUCAGCUUAUCAAUCGUCAAGACACUUAUGAACAUACUCUCAAAGAAUCCAUAUUCUAUAUUUGUAAAGUCCUUGAUAAACAUUCCAAAAAUAUCUGAUUUUUGCAUCGCUCUUAAAUGUGAUCCAGGUUUAGAUCAACGUGUUUAUAAUUUACUAUCUGCAUCUGAGGUAGCUGGAAUAUGGGCCCAAGAUAAUUUUGAUACUAUAUCUGCACCACAUAUUCGUAUAUACACCCAUAGUAAUAACACUCGCUCAGUAAAUUAAUAUUAAGGUUGCUAUGAUCCCUUGCAGUACCCAUUAUUAUUUUCAUACGGCCAAAACGGAUAGCACUGUGGUAUAAAAAAGAUUAUACGAAGAAAUCAAUUUACUGUGAACAUGAAGAAUUACCAAGUGCAAAGAACAUGUACUCAAUUGACGGAGUUCUUGAUGUUGAAGCUCAGAACUUUAAAAAAGGAAAACGAAAAAGAGAUCUGGUUUCUUGUCGUGAGUAUUACUGUUACAAAAUUCAGAUAAGAGAGAAUGAGGAAAAUGGAGUGUUACACUGUUGAACAGGUAAAACUGUCACGCCCCGAACCAUGGCCUGGGCAAAACACGACACUCGGUGCCUUACUGCAUGUGAUCGAGCGAACCACAUGGCUUGCUGAAUCAUCAUGAGGCAUAACAUGAGCGGAAUAUAACAUGAAAUGUGAUGAGCUUUUAUAAAACAUGAGAUGUCAUAAUAAUUUAAUGAAAUACUUGUUUAAAUCGUGAAUGCAGAAAUAUCUUAAAUUGAGCCAAAAAUGGCUACACGAUUCUGAGUAUAUGGCAUAACUGACUGACUAGUCUAUGAAACCUCUAAUCAUGAGUCUUGACUGGAAAACGUAUUCGUUGGGACAAGGCCCCCAGCAUACCUUUAAAUGCAUAAAUAAUAAAAUAAAGAUAACUGACUAAAACCCCGAAUAAGAUGGGGUUUACCAAUAAGCUGAUACGUGUAGAGUCCUACUAAGCAGAUGCGUCGUCCUGCAAAUCUGUACUUACAUGGUGAAAUGCAGGCCCCCGGGCAAUAAAAGGGAACGUCAGCACAUUGAAUGUACUAGUAUGUAAAGCAACUGAAUGAAAUAACAUGGGACAUGGAAAUAACAUAAUAGAGACUGCACUGAAACAUGAUGAGUACAUAUACAUAUAUAACAUGUGUAAAAUUUCGUGAGAACGGAGAGCAGUAAAUAUAACCGACAACAUGGUCUGGUACUUGCGUCCUACCAGCAGAACACUCAUACCUUGCCAGGGACAUGAGAUUUAAUAAUAUUAUGAAAGGAUCCAGUCAUUAUGAGAGAUCGUCCUAAGCAUGGGUGGAGAGAUCCUCAUCCUACGGUAGCUACAUAGUUUCAUGCUGUUUGAAGCCUUCUCGGUAAUUAAUGCAACUUCCAAAAACAUGAACAUGGAAAACAAGUGGCACUUGCUGCCCAUGACUUUUCAUGAAUCAUAACUUGCGUGAACUUAUAAAACACACACACACACACACACACAUAUAUAUAUAUAGCUUUUCUUGAAAAUAUCAUAAUAGUUCAUAAACUUGCAUGUAAGAACCCAUGAAAUGCAAGGUAUGGGUUUUCAUGGAUUACGGACAGAUUGUUAAUAAUCAUAAUGAUGUAUCAAGAUCACAAUGGAGAAUUUAUAACAAUUUAAUACAUAAUAUAACAUGGGGCAUGGACCUAGGGUUAUCAUGAACAUGGUUAAAAAUCUUAGUUUUCGUAAAGCUUCAUACUUUAUGGAAGAAGAAGCGUGGGGAAGAACAAUGAUGUUCCCACACGUAGAUAGCAACCCUACAUAUCUGGUAAUGCUCCAAACUUGUAUUAAAAAUCUGUUCUUGGAAGAAAAAUCCCAGAGCCUAGUCUUGAAUUCCCGUUAAUUGGGUUUUCUUGAAAACCCUAGAUUAGAAAUGAUGAAUUCUUGAUUAGAAUCCAUGGAUACAUGUUAGAAUUGACUUAGAAGGCUUAGAAUAGGCUUACCUUGGUAUUCUUGAUGACGGGAGAGGAUAGGAGGUCGUUCUAGGGCUUAAAGGAAAGCAAAAUAAUGAUUUGGACUAAUAUGGACGAAUAUAUACUGUUUUGGAACAUUGAAUUUUAAGCCCAACAAAAUACUAGCCAUAUUUCGGUUCGUAUUUUUGGACUGCUCUGCGACUCUUCAGUAAAAUGGCCAUAACUUUUUGUACAUAUGUCCGGUUGACCUCCAUAAUAUACCGUUGGAAAGGUAUUUCAAAAAUCUACAACUUUUAUCAAGGAAGUUUUCCCAAAUUCCCAAAUAAUAAAGGGGUUAUGAUCACUGGAAGUAAUACCUUUUACAAACUCACUUGAAAACAUGCCCCGUGGGGUGGCUUCCAACUUUAUUUUGCCCAAAGAAUCUUCUUGUGAUUUGAUUAGUUUUCAAAACACUUCCUAUAUCUCCCAUAUUGAUUCCAUUAUACCCCCCAUCUUAUGUGUUAAACCUUAGCCCGAAGAUCCGAGAUGUUACAAAAACUUUCUUAUACCGUGCAUUGUUAGCAAUUUUUCGGUCUCAAGGAUUCAUAGCUUUGACAACUGCAACUUCUGGUGUAGCAGCUUCCGUUCUUCUUGGAGGACGAACUGCUCACUCAUGUUUCAAAAUGCCUAUCGAGAUAGAUGAUAAUUUUUGUUGUAAUGUUAGUAAACAGAGUUCACUUGCAAGUUUAAUUCGAGAUGCAAAAUUAAUUGUAUGGGAUGAGGCGUCCAUGGCAAAAAAGAACAUGAUUGAAGCUCUUGAUACACUUUUGAGAGAUAUUAUGGAUGUGAACAAACUUUUUGGUGGUAAAGUAGUGGUAUUUGGGGGUGACUUUAGACAAACUCUUCCGGUUGUUCGAAACGGCAAAAAGUAAGACUUUAUUCAUGAAAGCUUGUUGGAAUGAGCUUGAGAAAUUGCAUCUAUCUGAAAAUAUGCGUGCAAGAACAGAUUCAUCCUUUUGUGAAUAUAUGCUUAGAAUUGGAAAUGGAACAGAAACAGCCAACUGUGAAAACAAAGUUGAGAUUCCUGAUUCUCUUAUUAUUCCUUUUACGACUGAAGAACAAUCCUUAGAUGCAUUAUUUAACGUAACGUAUCCUGACUUAUAUGCAUUUUCCUCUGACUCAUCUAUGAUAUGUUCUCGUGUUAUUUUGACAACGAAGAAUGAUUUUAUAAAUGAAAUAAAUGAUAUGUUAAUUACGAAAUUUCCUGAAAGGGCUAGAACAUAUGUUGCAAUAGAUGAAACUGUCGAACCAAAUGAUCAAAGUCAAUUUGAAGAUUUCUUACAUACUUUAGAUCCUCCGGGUUUACCUCCUUAUAAGUUAACUUUAAAGGAGAACUGUCCAGUUAUAUUAUUACGGAAUUUGAACCCUUGUGAAGGCUUAUGCAACAGCACACGAUUAACAUGUUGUGACUUUAAAACACAUGUCAUCAGUGCUAAAAUUGAAAGUGGUGACUUUAAAAAUACACGUCUUUAUUCCAAGAAUACCAUUGUUGACAUCUCAAGAUGAGAAAAUUCUUGUGCAGUUUAAAAGAAUACAGUUUCCUCUACGAUUAUGCUUUGCUAUGACCAUAAACAAGGCUCAAGGUCAAACAUUAGAUUUGGUUGGAAUUUAUUUACAGGAACCUGUUUUUUCGCAUGGUCAACUCUAUGUAGCUUUAUCAGAGUCAAAAGUUCAAAAUGUGUCAAAAUACUAAUUCGUCCACCUAUAGCAGACAGUAAUGAUGAUCAUUCAACAUGUAAUGUAGUGUAUGAUGAAAUUAUUCACAAAGCAUUCUCGUAGUUGAGCUAAGAAUGACUUUGAUUUUGUUAACUUUGCGAAUCUUACCCCUGAAACUCUUUGCUGCUAUUGAAAAAUAACGAUUCAAUGAAAGAUCUUCAGCCUACAGUUAUACCAAGGUAUGUAAAAGAUUAAGCUUUUAUCUACUUUAUGAAUUUACAAUAGUGUUAAUUUGUGAACUUAUCCUACAUUUUGGAAAUAUAUGUUAUGAAGCACUGAUGCUGCAGUACUACUUCAACUAGAUUUGAUGCUGCAGUACUACUUCAACUAGAUUUGAUGCUGCAUUCCUGCCUCCGGUCCAUACCCUCUGCUAAUAGUCUCUCAACACAUUUAUAGGUUAAAAGUUGUUAGGCACAGACUAACUGCAGAUAGGAAAUGCCAAGAAAAGUCAUGGUAAAUACAUGGGUUUAAUCAACCCUGUUGCAAGGCCUUAUCUUAUCAGCAUGCAACAAACUUGAUGUAGAGAAGCUUGCUGAAGAUGAAGAACGAAAGGACAAGGGGAAGGCAAAAAAGCAGUAAUAACUUCAUCUAUUUUUUAAGUGUAUUAAUGGGUAUUCUUUUAAACUUUGACAUCUGUGCAAAACAUAAAACGAGAAAUAUGUGAAACCUGCGAAUUUCUUGGAAUCCCACGAAAAGCCUCUAAUAAGUGUCGCAAUAAAGGGAGGUAAUGAACUAUUUUUUGUUUUGAAAUUUGUAGUGGUACUACAAAUGUAUUAAUAAGCUUUCUAUCAGACCUUCUAGCUUACUUGGUUCUUCAUUGUUAUGGCCAUUGUGAAACCAUCAGUUGUCAAGUUA